GAUGAACGCUGGCGGCGUGCCUAAUACAUGCAAGUCGAGCGAACAGAUAAGGAGCUUGCUCCUUUGACGUUAGCGGCGGACGGGUGAGUAACACGUGGGUAACCUACCUAUAAGACUGGAAUAACUCCGGGAAACCGGGGCUAAUGCCGGAUAACAUUUAGAACCGCAUGGUUCUAAAGUGAAAGAUGGUUUUGCUAUCACUUAUAGAUGGACCCGCGCCGGAUUAGCUAGUUGGUAAGGUAACGGCUUACCAAGGCAACGAUACGUAGCCGACCUGAGAGGGUGAUCGGCCACACUGGAACUGAGACACGGUCCAAACUCCUACGGGAGGCAGCAGUAGGGAAUCUUCCGCGAUGGGCGAAAGCCUGACGGAGCAACGCCGCGUGAGUGAUGAAGGUCUUCGGAUCGUAAAACUCUGUUAUUAGGGAAGAACAAAUGUGUAAGUAACUGUGCACGUCUUGACGGUACCUAAUCAGAAAGCCACGGCUAACUACGUG
rnacentral:rRNA from 1 species